CCGGAUGCGGAUCUCGAAAGCCUGUCCCAGUUCGGACUGGAGUCUGCAACCCGACUCCACGAAGUUGGAUUCGCUAGUAAUCGCGCAUCAGCCAUGGCGCGGUGAAUACGUUCCCGGGCCUUGUACACACCGCCCGUCAAGCCAUGGGAGCCGGGGGCGCCUGAAGUCCGGGACCGCGAGGACCGGCCUAGGGCGAAACUGGUAACUGGGGCUAAGUCGUAACAAGGUAGC
rnacentral:rRNA from 1 species